rnacentral:tRNA from 1 species
GGUGGCUCAGUGGUAGAGCGCUUGCCUAGCAUGCAUGAAGCCCUGGGUUUGAUUCCUCAGAACCA